rnacentral:rRNA from 1 species
GACGAACGCUGGCGGCGUGCUUAACACAUGCAAGUCGAACGGAAAGGCCCUGCUUGCAGGGUCCUCGAGUGGCGAACGGGUGAGUAACACGUGGGUGAUCUGCCCUGCACUUCGGGAUAAGCCUGGGAAACUGGGUCUAAUACCGGAUAGGAGCCAUUUUUAGUGUGAUGGUUGGAAAGUUUUUUCGGUGUAGGAUGAGCUCGCGGCCUAUCAGCUUGUUGGUGGGGUAAUGUCGUACCAAGGCGGCGACGGGUAGCCGGCCUGAGAGGGUGGACGGCCACAUUGGGACUGAGAGACGGCCCAGACUCCUACGGGAGGCAGCAGUGGGGAAUAUUGAACAAUGGGCGCAAGCCUGAUGCAGCGACGCCGCGUGGGGGAUGACGGCCUUCGGGUUGUAAACUCCUUUCGCUAGGGACGAAGCUUUUUGUGACGGUACCUAGAUAAGAAGCACCGGCUAACUACGUG